AGUAAUACAUCGGAACAUGUCCAUUCGUGGGGGAUAGCCCGGCGAAAGCCGGAUUAAUACCGCAUACGCCCCGAGGGGGAAAGCGGGGGACUUCGCAAGAGGCCUCGCGCGAAUGGGUUGGCCGAUGUCCGAUUAGCUAGUUGGUGGGGUAAAGGCUUACCAAGGCGAUGAUCGGUAGCUGGUCUGAGAGGAUGAUCAGCCACACUGGGACUGAGACACGGCCCAG
rnacentral:rRNA from 1 species